UACGAAGGGGGCUAGCGUUGCUCGGAAUCACUGGGCGUAAAGGGUGCGUAGGCGGGCCUUUAAGUCAGGGGUGAAAUCCUGGAGCUCAACUCCAGAACUGCCUUUGAUACUGAAGAUCUUGAGUUCGGGAGAGGUGAGUGGAACUGCGAGUGUAGAGGUGAAAUUCGUAGAUAUUCACAAGAACACCAGUGGCGAAGGCGGCUCACUGGCCCGAUACUGACGCUGAGGCACGAAAGCGUGGGGAGCAAACAGG
rnacentral:rRNA from 1 species